UUUUGUGGAGAGUUUGAUCCUGGCUCAGGAUGAACGCUGGCGGCGUGCUUAACACAUGCAAGUCGAACGGAAAGGCCCAAGCUUGCUUGGGUGCUCGAGUG
rnacentral:rRNA from 1 species